AUUGAACGCUGGCGGCAUGCCUUACACAUGCAAGUCGAACGGCAGCACGGGUGCUUGCACCUGGUGGCGAGUGGCGAACGGGUGAGUAAUACAUCGGAACAUGUCCUGUAGUGGGGGAUAGCCCGGCGAAAGCCGGAUUAAUACCGCAUACGAUCUACGGAUGAAAGCGGGGGACCUUCGGGCCUCGCGCUAUAGGGUUGGCCGAUGGCUGAUUAGCUAGUUGGUGGGGUAAAGGCCUACCAAGGCGACGAUCAGUAGCUGGUCUGAGAGGACGACCAGCCACACUGGGACUGAGACACGGCCCAGACUCCUACGGGAGGCAGCAGUGGGGAAUUGUGGACAAUGGGCGAAAGCCUGAUCCAGCAAUGCCGCGUGUGUGAAGAAGGCCUUCGGGUUGUAAAGCACUUUUGUCCGGAAAGAAAUCCUUGGCCCUAAUACGGUCGGGGGAUGACGGUACCGGAAGAAUAAGCACCGGCUAACUACGUG
rnacentral:rRNA from 1 species